CAAUGCUGCGUUGCAUGAUACAUUUCCAGUGGCGAGCGCCGACGGCGUCCAAUCGUCGGAGUCACCACAAAUGUUUUCAGAGUAUGUAGAAGGAGUCUCAGGACAUGGACCAACACUCAGAAGAAUGGUCCGCACCGAGACCCGCACGAUGACGACGUUCGAUGACGAGGGCCGACCGGUGACGCGCACGGUGACGGAGCGCACCACCACCGAGGCUGACGGCACCGAGAGUCGCCAGCUGGUGGAGACCGAAGACUAAGCGGCAGCCAAGCGCCCUGGCCGGCGCCGAUGGGCGCGCUAGGCGGGCGGCGGCUCGCCAUCAGCACUGGUGCGCGCUGGACAGACUGCUGCCGGCGAACCGAGAUGUGUCCACGGAGGGGAUGGACUUGUGCUGUUUGCCACACUCACGCCGUGUUGCCUUCUGUUUAUGAGAAACGGCUAUUGCUGUGGGGCGGGGCGCGACGCCGGUCGCGCGCGCCUGGGACCGGCCACCCGUCGCCUGGCCAGCAAAUUGCCCCUUGCUGGCUGAGAGGCGGCGUCGGCCCUGGCGGACGGCGGCGGCCCCGGCCCGGGCUUUGCUUGGGUACAGGGCUCAUGGCGACCCACAGAGCACCGGCUUCAGUUGGAGAUCAAAAACACUACCGUUAGGUUUGUCUAUCGAAUGUGACGUUUUGUCCGAAUGCUACAUUGUCUAGUCAAAGGUAGCCCACUAAAUGGUUGAUGAAACUGUGCGGAAAUUCGUUUUCUUUGUGAUUUUUCAUGAAGGAUCGUGUUUUUGAACGGUGGUGGUCAUUGGAAGGACGCUAAAUCUGUAACGUGAACGUUAUGUGCUAAGAAGGGCCACUUUGGCGUGCACUGGUCAUGCAAGCUGCUUUGGGCUUUGAGUAUCCGUGUGUCUGUUGUUAUAUUGCACGCGGGCGCGCGUGCGACGCCGGGCGGGCGUGGCCUCUCUCCAUUCUCGGCGCCGCCCCUGCGGCAGGCCCGGCCCGCUCGGCACGCUGUAGAUCAUGUACCGGCGCGGGCGUGUGCGUGCGCAUGCGCGACUGCGUGUGCUAUUUGGCUUCAAAUACUAGUGUGCGUCCCUUAUUCGCGGCAGCUUGUCAAGGCAGGUCAGGGGUGGCCGGCGGGCCUCACAGGGCCUCGGGACUGGCCGGCCAUCCCUUCUCCGCUGGGGACGCGGACCUCCGCGGUGCGUGCGACAUAUGCCAAUAAAAUAAAUAUAAAA